GCUUAUGGCCAUACCAGCCUGAAUACGCCCGAUCUCGUCCGAUCUCGGAAGCUAAGCAGGGUCGGGCCUGGUUAGUACUUGGAUGGGAGACCGCCUGGGAAUACCAGGUGCUGUAAGCA
rnacentral:rRNA from 1 species